rnacentral:rRNA from 1 species
GUGCCAGCAGCCGCGGUAAUACGGAGGGGGUUAGCGUUGUUCGGAAUUACUGGGCGUAAAGCGUACGUAGGCGGAUUGGAAAGUUGGGGGUGAAAUCCCAGGGCUCAACCCUGGAACUGCCUCCAAAACUAUCAGUCUAGAGUUCGAGAGAGGUGAGUGGAAUUCCAAGUGUAGAGGUGAAAUUCGUAGAUAUUUGGAGGAACACCAGUGGCGAAGGCGGCUCACUGGCUCGAUACUGACGCUGAGGUACGAAAGUGUGGGGAGCAAACAGGAUUAGAUACCCUGGUAGUCCACACCGUAAACGAUGAAUGCCAGUCGUCGGGCAGUAUACUGUUCGGUGACACACCUAACGGAUUAAGCAUUUCCGCCUGGGGGAGUACGGUCGCAAGAUUAAAACUCAAAGGAAUUGACGG